GACGAACGCUGGCGGCGUGCUUAACACAUGCAAGUCGAACGGAAAGGCCCUGCUUUUGUGGGGUGCUCGAGUGGCGAACGGGUGAGUAACACGUGAGUAACCUGCCCUUGACUUUGGGAUAACUUCAGGAAACUGGGGCUAAUACCGGAUAGGAGCUCCUGCUGCAUGGUGGGGGUUGGAAAGUCUCGGCGGUUGGGGAUGGACUCGCGGCUUAUCAGCUUGUUGGUGGGGUAGUGGCUUACCAAGGCUUUGACGGGUAGCCGGCCUGAGAGGGUGACCGGCCACAUUGGGACUGAGGUACGCACCAGACUCCUACGGGAGGCAGCAGUGGGGAAUAUUGCACAAUGGGCGGAAGCCUGUUGCAGCAACGCCGCGUGCGGGAUGACGGCCUUCGGGUUGUGAACCGCUUUCGCCUGUGACGAAGCGUGAGUGACGGUAAUGGGUGAAGAAGCACCGGCUAACUACGUG
rnacentral:rRNA from 1 species